AUCUUGGUAAACCUCCCGCAUCGAGCGCAACCCUUAUCCUUUGUUGCCAGCGGUUCGGCCGGGAACUCAAAGGAGACUGCCGGUGAUAAACCGGAGGAAGGUGGGGAUGACGUCAAGUCAUCAUGGCCCUUACGGCCAGGGCUACACACGUGCUACAAUGGCGCAUACAAAGAGAAGCGACCUCGCGAGAGCAAGCGGACCUCAUAAAGUGCGUCGUAGUCCGGAUUGGAGUCUGCAACUCGACUCCAUGAAGUCGGAAUCGCUAGUAAUCGUAGAUCAGAAUGCUACGGUGAAUACGUUCCCGGGCCUUGUACACACCGCCCUUCACACCAUGGGAGUGGGUUGCAAAAGAAGUAGGUAGCUUAACCUUCGGGAGGGCGCUUACCAACUUUGAUCCAUAUCU
rnacentral:rRNA from 1 species